UACGAAGGGGGCUAGCGUUGCUCGGAAUCACUGGGCGUAAAGGGUGCGUAGGCGGGUCUUUAAGUCAGGGGUGAAAUCCUGGAGCUCAACUCCAGAACUGCCUUUGAUACUGGCGAUCUCGAGUCCGGGAGAGGUGAGUGGAACUGCGAGUGUAGAGGUGAAAUUCGUAGAUAUUCGGAAGAACACCAGUGGCGAAGGCGGCUCACUGGACUGGUAUUGACGCUGAGGUGCGAAAAGCGUGGGGAGCAAACAGGG
rnacentral:rRNA from 1 species